CUUACCAUGCAAGUCGGGGGGCAGCAUGGAAGAAGCUUGCUUCUUCUGAUGGCGACCGGCGCACGGGUGCGUAACGCGUAUCAAACCUGCCUCAUACUCGGGGAUAGCCUUGCGAAAGUAAGAUUAAUACCCGAUGUUGUUAUGUUACCGCAUGGUGAUGUAACCAAAGAUUUAUCGGUAUGAGAUGGUGAUGCGUCCGAUUAGGUAGUAGGCGGGGUAACGGCCCACCUAGCCUUCGAUCGGUAGGGGUUCUGAGAGGAAGGUCCCCCACACUGGAACUGAGACACGGUCCAGACUCCUACGGGAGGCAGCAGUGAGGAAUAUUGGUCAAUGGACGGAAGUCUGAACCAGCCAAGUAGCGUGCAGGAUGACGGCCCUCUGGGUUGUAAACUGCUUUUAGUUGGGAAUAAAAAAGAGGACGUGUCCUCUAUUGUAUGUACCUUCAGAAAAAGGACCGGCUAAUUCCGUGCCAGCAGCCGCGGUAAU
rnacentral:rRNA from 1 species